CCUACGGGUGGCAGCAGUCGAGAAUCAUUCACAAUGGGGGAAACCCUGAUGGUGCGACGCCGCGUGGGGGAAUGAAGGUCUUCGGAUUGUAAACCCCUGUCAUGUGGGAGCAAAUUAAAAAGAUAGUACCACAAGAGGAAGAGACGGCUAACUCUGUGCCAGCAGCCGCGGUAAUACAGAGGUCUCACGCGUUGUCCGGAAUCACGGGGCGUAAAGCGUGCGUAGGCUGUUUCGUAAGUCGUGUGUGAAAGGCGCGGGCUCAAGCCGCGGACGGCACAUGAUACUGCGAGACUAGAGUGAUGGAGGGGGAACCGGAAUUCUCGGUGUAGCAGUGAAAUGCGUAGAUAUCGAGAGGAACACUCGUGGCGAAGGCGGGUUCCUGGACAUUAACUGACGCUGAGGCACGAAGGCCAGGGGAGCGAAAGGGAUUAGAUACCCCAGUAGUC
rnacentral:rRNA from 1 species